rnacentral:rRNA from 1 species
AAAUAGAUACCCAGGUAGUCCACCCCGUAAAACGUUGGGAAACUAGUUGUGGGGUCCAUUCCACGGAUUCCGUGACGCAGCUAACGCAUUAAGUUCCCCGCCUGGGGAGUACGGCCGCAAGGCUAAAACUCAAAGGAAUUGACGGGGACCCACACAAGCGGCGGAGCAUGCGGAUUAAUUCGAUGCAACGCGAAGAACCUUACCAAGGCUUGACAUAUACGAGAACGGGCCAGAAAUGGUCAACUCUUUGGACACUCGUAAACAGGUGGUGCAUGGUUGUCGUCAGCUCGUGUCGUGAGAUGUUGGGUUAAGUCCCGCAACGAGCGCAACCCUCGUUCUAUGUUGCCAGCACGUAAUGGUGGGAACUCAUGGGAUACUGCCGGGGUCAACUCGGAGAAGGUGGGGAUGACGUCAAAUCAUCAUGCCCCUUAUGUCUUGGGCUUCACGCAUGCUACAAUGGCCGGUACAAAGGGCUGCAAUACCGUGAGGUGGAGCGAAUCCCAAAAAGCCGGUCCAGUUCGGAUUGAGGUCUGCAACUCGA